rnacentral:sRNA from 1 species
UUGCUUCGUCAUGGAGCUCCGGGACUCCAC